GCUAGGAUGAACGCUAGCGGCAGGCUUAACACAUGCAAGUCGAGGGCAUCGGGAGUAGCAAUACUGCCGGCGACCGGCGCAAGGGUGCGUAACGCGUGAGCAACAUGCCCGUAUCAGGGGGGAUAAUCCAUGGAAACGUGGUCCUAAUACCCCAUAGUAAUUAUCGUAAGGCAUCUUAUAUAAUUUAAAGCUUUGGUGGAUACGGAUUGGCUCGCGUGACAUUAGCUAGAUGAUAAGGUAACGGCUUACCAUGGCUACGAUGUCUAGGGGUUCUGAGAGGAAGGCCCCCCACACUGGAACUGAGACACGGUCCAGACUCCUACGGGAGGCAGCAGUGAGGAAUAUUGGACAAUGGAUGGAAAUCUGAUCCAGCCAUGCCGCGUGCAGGGAAAAGACGGCCCUAUGGGUUGUAAACUGCUUUUGUAUGGGAGCAAUAAGGGCUACGCGUAGUCCGAUGAGAGUACCAUACGAAUAAGCACCGGCUAACUCCGUGCCAGCAGCCGC
rnacentral:rRNA from 1 species